rnacentral:misc_RNA from 1 species
UGAAAGGGCUUGGCCAUCGGGAGGGUUUGUCAAAGUUAACAAUGCAUACUGGCUGGCCUGAAUUGGCCUUGCCAUCAGGAGGGUUUGUCAAAGUUAACAAUGCUUACUGUCUUGCCUGUUUUGGCCUUGCCAUCGGGAGGGUUUGUCAAAGUUAACAAUGCUUACUGUCUUGCCUUAAUUGGCCUUGCCAUCGGGAGGGUUUGUCAAAGUUAACAAUGCCUACUGUCUUGCCUGAUUUGGCUUUGCCAUCGGGAGGGUUUGUCAAAGUUAACAUGACCUACUGUCUUGCCUGAAUCGGCUUUGCCAUUGGGAUCAGGAGGGUUUGUCAAAGAGUGGCGCAUCACCUUGAAAGACUUGCCUGUCCCGUGGUGGCUCGUACCAGCGGGCGGGUUAUGUCAAUUAGGGAUGC